UUGUUCCUAAGAUACGGCCCAACAUUCUUUGUUUUGUUUGCUUAUUUUUUGAGAUAGGGUCUGUCACCCAGGUGGAGUGCAGAGGCACGAUCACAGCUCACUGCUGACUCGAUGUCCCAGACCCAAGUGGGAGACUCAACCACCAAAGAAUGGGAUUGGAUUGAUCUUGUUUGCCCCUCAAUGAGCCUCUGCUACUGAAUCAUUCUGCAACUUUGGACACACUAUUUAACCUCGCCAAGCUUCAAGUUUCUAAUUAGUAAAACGGUAACAUCAGUACUACUUACCUCAUAGGAUUGCUGUAAGGAUUAAAUGAGAUUGUUCCUGCAGAAGGCUUGUGGUUCAGUGCCUAUGACACAAGAUGCUUUAGCGGGCAGACCACAGGGAAGAGCAGAAAAUGUAGGCAUUCUGGGUAUAGACUGGCUCUGCAAGACAAACCC